AGUGAACGCUGGCGGUAGGCCUAACACAUGCAAGUCGAACGGCAGCACAGUAAGAGCUUGCUCUUACGGGUGGCGAGUGGCGGACGGGUGAGGUAUACAUCGGAAUCUACUUUUUCGUGGGGGAUAACGUAGGGAAACUUACGCUAAUACCGCAUACGACCUACGGGUGAAAGCAGGGGAUCUUCGGACCUUGCGCGAUUGAAUGAGCCGAUGUCGGAUUAGCUAGUUGGCGGGGUAAAGGCCCACCAAGGCGACGAUCCGUAGCUGGUCUGAGAGGAUGAUCAGCCACACUGGAACUGAGACACGGUCCAGACUCCUACGGGAGGCAGCAGUGGGGAAUAUUGGACAAUGGGCGCAAGCCUGAUCCAGCCAUACCGCGUGGGUGAAGAAGGCCUUCGGGUUGUAAAGCCCUUUUGUUGGGAAAGAAAAGCAGCAGGUUAAUAUCCCGCUGUUCUGACGGUACCCAAAGAAUAAGCACCGGCUAACUUCGUG
rnacentral:rRNA from 1 species